GAUGAACGCUGGCGGCGUGCCUAAUACAUGCAAGUCGAGCGAAUGAUGAGGAGCUUGCUCCUAUGAUUUAGCGGCGGACGGGUGAGUAACACGUGGGUAAUCUGCCUGUAAGACGGGGAUAACUCCGGGAAACCGGGGCUAAUACCGGAUAACAAGAGAAGAAGCAUUUCUUCUUUUUGAAAGUCGGUUUUGGCUGACACUUACAGAUGAGCCCGCGGCGCAUUAGCUAGUUGGUGAGGUAACGGCUCACCAAGGCGACGAUGCGUAGCCGACCUGAGAGGGUGAUCGGCCACACUGGGACUGAGACACGGCCCAGACUCCUACGGGAGGCAGCAGUAGGGAAUCUUCGGCAAUGGGCGAAAGCCUGACCGAGCAACGCCGCGUGAGCGAUGAAGGCCUUCGGGUCGUAAAGCUCUGUUGUUAGAGAAGAACAAGUACGAGAGUAACUGCUCGUACCUUGACGGUACCUAACCAGAAGGCCACGGCUAACUACGUGCCAGCCGCCGCAGUAA
rnacentral:rRNA from 1 species